UCCGUACUGUACUACGGCUCGGACACGAAU
rnacentral:sRNA from 1 species